UAUUUUAUAAAAAUAUUGAGUGGUUCCCGUAAUUUAGGAAUGUUGUCUUCAUGAAUGUAUGCGCACGGUCGGUCCAUUGUCAUUCAUUUAUAUGGAAUACAAAAGUAAUACUUCUUCUAAAGUUAACUUCAUUGUUGCGCUUAGCUUGUGAAUGUAUUACUAAGGGAUUUUCGCUUCAUAGUAUUUAUUGGUGCCGUGGGUUGCAAAUGUAAAGGUCCAUAUGGACACACCGGACGCGAUUCAACAACGCGACGCGAUUUUUCGAUUUUCACUGACCGAUAACUUUGAUCCUAGUUAAAAUUUUCCAAAUAUUUGAAAGCGCUAUAACAUUUUGAGUUAUUUGGUCUACAUAUCUUUCAAAAUUUCCUCUCAUUGGCUAUUUUAUUAACUUUCAAAAACUAAAAAAUCGCGUCGCGUUGUCGAAUCGCGUCCGUUGUGUCUGGACUGUAAGCGUAAAAUACGGCGCAACUGAUAGUGGUCAUGCUUUAGGAAUGUUGUCUUCAUGAUUGUAUGCGUGCGGUCGGUGCAUUGUCAUUAUUCAUUUAUAUGGAAUACAAAAAGUGAUGCUGUAAAUUUUGCCAUCAGAACUCAGGAGAGGCCAAUUAAUGUUCAAAAUUCUUACAGUAUUCACUACAACCAACAUUUAUAUGAAUAGCCAUUAGCCCGUAACCUUAAAAACAUACAUGCAACGGAAAAGAAUGGACAAAAUUUUAUGAACAAUUCACACGGUGCCAUGCAUAUUUUCAUAUUCAAAAGAUCAGGAUUUAAUAUCAAUAAUGGUUGUAAGGAGACAUCAAUUUAAAUCUUUUCCUGUACAAUUCUAAAAUGAUUAAAAAUAACUGAGAAGAGCUAGUAUGCUAGCUUUUGAACAAGUAAACUGGUCGUAGAAGAAUUUCGCAAAAUUUCCUAUGGCUAUACAGACGAGUGAAUAAGACCUUCAUAUGAAAACUUUUCAUAGAAAUCUUGCUUGCAUGUCGGUAACCACUUUCUUGUUCGUAUUCUACACGCCCCUAUAUUUUAUGCUUAUCUGUUCGUUUUCGGUUUCAACUGUCUGAUAUCCAUAUAUGGUUUAAAACCGAGACACACCGGAUGCGAUUGGAGAACGCGGCGCGUUUUUCAGGUUUUGAAAGUUAAUAAAACAGCCAAUGAAAGGAAAUUUUAAAAGAUAUGUAGAGCAAAUAACUUAAAUAUUUGGAAAACUUGAAGCAGGAUCAAAGUUAUCGGUCAGUAAAAAUUGAGAAAUCGCGGCGCCUUAUCGAAUCGCGUCGGGUAUAGUAACUUUUCACGUAUGUCGAAGCGGGCUGUGUCACCACCCAUCGUUUGGUUCAGGAACUAGUAUGGGAAAAUCUUGAUCCGAAAUCGAAAGUAGAGAGUUUCAUUGAUGCUGCGCG